UUUAACCAGUUGUGGCCUUCGGGUCUAGUAGGUAUAUAACGCACGUUGAACUAACCCAAACAUAGUUCAACUACUUAGAACGUAAUAAGACAACAUGAAAUUCUUCGCGCUAUUCGCCUUAUUCAUGUGCGCUGUACUGGCAUUGGUCGGUGCGACUCCCGUAGCAGAGCCCGGCCCACAGCCAAUCAGGGAAGCUCGCAGCCCUCAUAAAAGCCACAAACACCAUAAACAACACCACAACUACGGCUAUGGAUAUGGCCACGGACGCUAAAGUUAUGUAGAAAGCAACCUUACCACCUUUGUAUUAAUAAUGUGAUUCGUUUAGCUUUAGUUUUUAAUCUAAAUAUAUUUUGUCAGAUUAA